UCCGCUUGGGCCGCUGUAACCAU
rnacentral:siRNA from 1 species